GUCUCGGUAGUCUAAAGACUCAGGACGCUUGCACGGAAUGCAAGAGAUCCGGGUUCGACUCCCGGCCGAGGCA
rnacentral:tRNA from 1 species